rnacentral:misc_RNA from 1 species
UGCCCUGGCCUCGCUGUUUUCAACGGUUCUCAGUUUGAACUUCGGAUGUGGUUGCUCUGUUGCUUUUGUGAAUGCUAGCGGCAUAACGCCGACCCAGAUAAGUACAAGUGCAUGAUUUGUGACAGGUGCUUCAAGAAAAUCUACAACUUAAAGAGGCACCUAAAGGAGGUUGACGGCAUUGACGGGACGCUGACACGCUGACACGAGCUGGAUCACACUGUCCGCUGCCGCCUUGCAUGCGAUCUGUGUCCAACGGCUUUUGCGUUCCAUUGGGGACUUGCUGCGCUACUUUGAAGCGAAAAACGGGUUCGUCGCGAGGCGUGAGGAGUUAAAGUUCAAUUUGUUGAAAGAAUUCAGUGACUGGAGGGAGGCUGAGGAAGGCAGAGAGCACGUUCGCUUCGUUCUUCACAACGGGCCCAAGGGACGAGAUGAGGGUGUCCUGAAAAUGUAUUGCUACUGCCACCGCUCUGGAUCAUUUCAGAGCAAGAGGUAAACGACAACUGAGAGCCCAGGGCACUUGUAAGACUAAUGUGCAAUGCUUAGCCACAAUUCAAGCAACAGAGAAAGAUGGCAAGGUGACAGUAGAGUACCAGGCAGAACACUACGGCCACUUGAAGGAACUGAAGCACCAGCGCCUCUUUACGACUGAGAAGGAGGCUUUAGCUGAUAAACUAAAGCAAGGCAUCCCCACCCGUAAAGUUCUUGUAGACGCACAUUCUUCCCCUGGCAGUGAGGUGGGCAGGCUACAUUUGCUCUCAAUGAAAGACAUUGGCAACAUCUCCGUCGAGCAUGAAAUUCUGACGAAAGAGCUACGGCACAAGAAUCAGUGGAGGAACUGAACAAAGUCAGAUUCCCCAGUCCUGUACUGACAUGGAAGAAGGAAAACAAAGAGAGCUUUGAGCUUGCCCUGAUGACUGUCCCUCAGAAAGAACUCCUCACAAAGCUUGGCUUGGCCCCAAGUUCCUGUGCAUUGACUCUACUCAUAAUACAAAUGGCCACAAUCUGCAAAUGAAGACUCAUGACAGUUGCAGAAGAUCAGUCAGGCAUGCCAUGCACAUAUUUGAUCUCAAUGUAACUAGGCACCAAGACUAUGAAACGCUCCUUAAGGCCAUAAAGGUAAUGCAUGGGAGGAAGUGAUGGGCUGUGCCCAACAUUGGAUGCUCUGCUCCUCGCAUGUAAGCCACAACUGGGCUCUGAAGUUGCAGUCGGUCCAAGAUAUAAGCAAACCCGUGACCGUCUUUGCGACGAGUUGUGGGCGCUGAGAAAUUGCAAAGAUGAGGGUCAAUUCCAACGAGCUUUGACGGGCUUCCUCUCUCAGAAACUACUGUAAGUGGAGAGGCUGACCCAAAACUAAUUCAAUAAGUACAGGAGUUUGUUCAGUACUUUGGGCACUACCAUGGUGGCAGAGCAGAACAGUGGGCGCUCUGCUUCAGAAAGGGCAUUCCUUUUAAUACUACCAACCACUUGGAGGCAACAAACAAGGACCUGAAGUCACACUACCUGCAUGGAACUCACAAUCAGAGGCUCGACAAGCUGUUGAUGACCCUCUUCGAACUGACCCAGUACCGCCUCUACAAGCGUCUCGAGUCGCUCGUAAAAGGAAAAACUGAUUGGCAUGAUGCAGCCCUUUUUCGGAGGCACCAGGAGAGGAUGAAAAUUCCAGCAUCAGAUGUAGAGCAGCUGCAAAAUGGCAAUGGCUGGCUUGUAAAGUCUCAGUCCCAGGCAGAGAGAAGCUACCAUGUUGAGAAGGGCGACCCCUGCCAGAGUUGCAUGCUCCAUUGCAAGGACUGUGACAUCUUUAUCGACAUUUACAAGUGCACUUGCAAUGACAGCCUGAUUUCAACAUCAAUGUGCAAGCAUAUUCAUGCUGUAGCUUACCUGGGGCUUCAUGUGACGACAGUGAAGGAGGUUGACAUUAAGCCAGGUGUAAAAAUGCCAGUAACAUCAUGUGAAGCAACUGGCUUUACGUAAGAUGAUGAGCCACAGUCCCUCUUGGAUGACAUUCGGCAGGGUAUUGAGGUAGGGAUGAAGAAGACUCAACCAAAUUCAGAGGACAACAUAUGUUUGGCAAUGAGUGGACUGAACAAGUCCCUCUCCAGGAAGAAAUUGACAAGCUCUUCAAGCUCCCUGGUGUUGAAAUACCGUACCAAGGCCCAAGUACUUGACUCUGCUCCCGAUGAGACUUCUCCAAAACCUAGGGUUGUCCCCCACAACAAAAAGAUGGAAGAACAACCACGGUGCUUUCCCACCAAAAAGAAACGCCCUGGUUCUGGUCCCAUGCAUGGCAAACCUCCCACCAGCUUGGAGCAGCAGCACAUCAUGGAGGGCCUUGUAGCCAGAGGGAGUGACCACUGGCGACCACAAGCAUGAGGAUCUGCUACAGGAAGCACAAUCAUGUGCCUGGACCUCGAGACCGGUGACCUUGGAGAUGUCAGCAAGGCUACAGGGUGAUUUGUUCACCACAGGGCUGUGCAAUUUAGUGGCAUGGAACUAGUGUCUCACCUCGGAGAUCUCCAUGGCGAGUGAACAGUUCCUCAAGAUGCCUGCAGCGGACUACGAACACAAGAAGUAUGCCGUCUGCCACAAGCUGGCACCAUCGUUGGAAUCGUGUGAAUAAAGACUAUAUUCUGAA